rnacentral:misc_RNA from 1 species
GAUGAAGAACGCAGCGAAAUGCGAUAAGUAAUGUGAAUUGCAGAAUUCAGUGAAUCAUCGAAUCUUUGAACGCACCUUGCACUCCUUGGUAUUCCGAGGAGUACGCCUGUUCGAGUGUUAUGAAGCUCUCAAAACGCAAUUGGCUUAAAACCUGAUUGUUGUUUUGGAUUUGAACUUUGCCGUGUUAUAACGGCUGGUUUUAAAAGUAUUAGGUGGUACUAGAACGAAUUGGUUCUACUCAACGUGAUAAUUAUCUGAUCGUUGAGGACAUUCCUUUCACGAGGAAUGGCCAUAGUAAAUUCAAUGGACUGCUUCUAAUCUGGCUUUAAUUCUUUAUUGGAUUAACCACUUUUCAAAUCUGACCUCGAAUCAGGUGGGACUACCCGCUGAACUUAAGCAUAUCAAUAAGCGGAGGA